rnacentral:rRNA from 1 species
CAGUAGCCGCGGUAUACGUAGGUGGCAAGCGUUGUCCGGAAUUAUUGGGCGUAAAGGGCUCGCAGGCGGUUUCUUAAGUCUGAUGUGAAAGCCCCCGGCUCAACCGGGGAGGGUCAUUGGAAACUGGGAAACUUGAGUGCAGAAGAGGAGAGUGGAAUUCCACGUGUAGCGGUGAAAUGCGUAGAGAUGUGGAGGAACACCAGUGGCGAAGGCGACUCUCUGGUCUGUAACUGACGCUGAGGAGCGAAAGCGUGGGGAGCGAACAGGAUUAGAUACCCGAGUAGUCCCUGUCUCUUAUACA